UAGGGAAUCUUCGGCAAUGGGGGGAACCCUGACCGAGCAACGCCGGCGUGAGUGAAGAAGGUUUUCGGAUCGUAAAGCUCUGUUGUUAAGGAAGAACGAGUGUGAGAAUGGAAAGUUCAUACUGUGACGGUACUUAACCAGAAAGGGACGGCUAACUACGUGCCAGCAGCCGCGGUAAUACGUAGGUCCCGAGCGUUGUCCGGAUUUAUUGGGCGUAAAGCGAGCGCAGGCGGUUAGAAAAGUCUGAAGUGAAAGGCAGUGGCUCAACCAUUGUAGGCUUUGGAAACUGUUUAACUUGAGUGCAGAAGGGGAGAGUGGAAUUCCAUGUGUAGCGGUGAAAUGCGUAGAUAUAUGGAGGAACACCGGUGGCGAAAGCGGCUCUCUGGUCUGUAACUGACGCUGAGGCUCGAAAGCGUGGGGAGCGAACAGGAUUAGAUACCCUGGUAGUCCACGCCGUAAACGAUGAGUGCUAGGUGUUAGGUCCUUUCCGGGACUUAGUGCCGCAGCUAACGCAUUAAGCACUCCGCCUGGGGAGUACGACCGCAAGGUUG
rnacentral:rRNA from 1 species